rnacentral:rRNA from 1 species
CAGGACGAACGCUGGCGGCGUGCUUAACACAUGCAAGUCGAACGAAGCAGCAGUGAAGGAGGCUUCGGCCAAUGGAUCUGUUGACUUAGUGGCGGACGGGUGAGUAACGCGUGAGCAACCUGCCUUUCAGAGGGGGAUAACGUUUGGAAACGAACGCUAAUACCGCAUGACAUAGUUUUAUCGCAUGGUAGGGCUAUCAAAGGAGCAAUCCGCUGAAAGAUGGGCUCGCGUCCGAUUAGAUAGUUGGUGGGGUAACGGCCUACCAAGUCGACGAUCGGUAGCCGGACUGAGAGGUUGAACGGCCACAUUGGGACUGAGACACGGCCCAGACUCCUACGGGAGGCAGCAGUGGGGAAUAUUGCACAAUGGGCGCAAGCCCUGAUGCAGCAACGCCGCGUGAGGGAAGACGGUUUUCGGAUUGUAAACCUCUGUCCUUGGUGAAGAAUUUUGACGGUAGCCGAGGAGGAAGCCACGGCUAACUACGUGCCAGCCGCCGC